UGUUAAAAAUUUUAUCUGCUUGUACAGUUAAAAACUGACAUGGCUGACGAAAUAGCCAUACAGUGAUACGUAGCAUGCUACUUGUACCUCAUGCUGAUGUAUAAGGGUUAGAUUUUAAUAGUAGAAAUAGAUGUAUUUUUUAACA
rfam:Gossypium hirsutum cultivar TM-1 scaffold7053.1_1, whole genome shotgun sequence